AUGAACGCUGGCGGCGUGCCUAAUACAUGCAAGUCGAAUGGGUUAGACCCAUGGCGAACGGGUGAGUAACGCGUAGGAACAUGCUCCGAAGUCGAGGAUAACCAGCCGAAAGGUUGGCUAAAACCCGAUAUACCGCAAGGUGAAAGUUUACGCUUCGGAAGUGGCCUGCGUCCUAUCAGCUAGUUGGUGAGGUAACGGCUUACCAAGGCGAUGACUGGUAACUGGUCUGAGAGGACGACCAGUCACAGUGGGACUGAGACACGGCCCACACUCCUACGGGAGGCAGCAGUAGGGAAUUGUCGGCAAUGGGCGAAAGCCUGACCGCGCGACGCCGCGUGGAGGAAGAAGGCCUUCGGGUUGUAAACUUCUUUUAUGGGGGACGAUUAUGACGGUACCUCAUGAAUAAGGGGCUGCUAACUACGU
rnacentral:rRNA from 1 species